AUUUUCUUCUUCACUUUUUCACAAUUAGGAUCCAUAUAUUUUGCUGAGCGGCUUCUCUCAUGGUGUUUUACGGCGAGACUUUCUCCUCAGCUUUGUUUAUUGAGGUUCUUAUUAUGCUCUAUAUGAGUUGAAAAAAGAUAGUGUUAGUUGGAGUUCAAGGGAAACAAAUGGUAGAAGACUACAAUAAAGCUGCUCGAGCUAUGAGCGGCUCAUAUAGGGAGGUUUAAUGACUUUUGACGAGCAACAAAUAUUGAUAGGUUGCAAGUGGAUACACAUUUUCUCCUCUUCUUAAGGUUAUUCUCCCCAACUCCAUUCAUGUAGACUGAUUUCAAAGGGUUUUCCUUUUAAGUAAUUAUGUUGUGCUACAUAUUUCCUUGUUGCUUUGUAGUUGAAGCAAGAUUUACAGGUGGAAAAGAAAUGUCUCUUUCUUGGAUCUGUUUCAAAUUAAGCAUCAUCGUCUUUCUUGAGUUGCAUCACAUAUACAACAUUGUGAAUAUAAGACAACUAAAAACUAAAAGAUGAGUGCGUCGAGUUAACUUUCAUCUUUUAUGAGGAGAGCUUAAAUAGCAUUUUGGCAGCUGUCCAGUUAGUUAAAACAAGUUUUUUAACUGAAGUCAAGAAACUUGUGCUUCUCAGUCCUACGGAUUAUAGUCAACUAUUAAAAGAUUGAUUGAGGAUGAAUAAAAAUGCUCUUGCUUCAUUGCCAAUUCCUGAAAUUCCUUUCUGGAUAUUCCUCAAUGUCCCGGAUAUUCACGGAACGUGAGAAGCAGAUGAUUAAUCAUCCCUUCAUUUUUUUUUCUCUGAUAGAUGGUCAGAACUUCAUUUAACAGGGGAAUUGACAGUGUGUUUGAGCAAGUUGUUGGCACCAAAUGCUCUAUCGAGGCUAUCACAAACAAUGAAGAGCUCUUUUAUCAUUUUGGAGUUGUUGACUUAAGGUAAGUUGUUCAAUAGCUGAUGAAAGUGAACAAUCAAUUGCCGAUAGUUAGGCAGCAAUAGGAAGAGCAGGCAAUUACUGUGUUCACGCCUUUAAAGAAGAAAGUGUAUUUUCUAAAGGUGCAUUUUGUACAGAGAAAACUGUUUCCAUGAAAGUAUUUUUAGCGAAAAAUGUUUUAAAUCAGGUGGUCAUUUUCUAGAUCAACUCCAAUGUUUGGUGGAUAUAAAAAAUUGAUAGACAUGGUAAUUGUGGUAUGUGCAAGGUAUGAGAAUAGUGUCAUGAUGGAUAUUGAUUAUCAGGUUCCUUCUCCAUUCUCUGUGGUUUAUUAUUGUUUUGUUUUUUCUCCCUAAUUUGUGUCUUUUAAUGGCAGGAAGUGGAUUUUCUUAAGGAUGCUACGGGAAAAUAAAACCUUUUUAGUUUUUCAAGAAAAUGCUUAAGUCUCACUUUCAAAGUUAGUGAUUUCUACCGUAAAAGUAAUGUGUUACCUUGCAGGUCCCUAACAUUUUAUGUGCUGAAUGUUUAUUUUUUUAAGUAUAAAAAAGAACAAAUACAAGUCUUUAGGAAUAUGUACAUUUGGAGUUGUUGAUUUGCAAAACUAUUUAGUAAAAACUUUGAAUUGGUUGGUUUGCUGGAACAGUUAGAGGCAUGUUUUAUAACCUCACAAUGAAUAUUUACAACUAUUCAGUUACUGAUGUUAAGUUCCAGUUGCAACAUU